rnacentral:lncRNA from 1 species
UUUUAGGUGGAUUUUGUUUGGAAAGUGAUUUAUAAUGAGUGCUCAAAAAAAUAAAAAUCAAUUAUUUAUGCAGUUUACUUUAUUAUCAAAGCCUAGACCCUAUGUGAUAACAUAAUCCAAUGUUAAAAGCUGUGAUAUUAAUGCUGUCCACUAGAGAGAGCCACAUUAUAAGGGAUAGGCCUAUUUAAAGCUUAUUUUUAAAAAUCAAUUUCCACACUUUUGAAAAGAAACGAAUACAUAUAACAAUUUAAUUUAACUAUGAUGUACUGACAGUAUAGUUUGAUAUAAUCCGUGUGCAUUGCUUAUCCCAAAGAUAUUCUAAUUGUUUCAAUUUUACUAAAUGCUGUCUUAGUUUUUCUCGAUUCCUAACAUGAAACAAUUUACCCGUUUCUCACAACUAUAAACACAUUCUCGUAACAAACAAACUUGUGCAAACUUCCAUGUAAAAAUCUAAUUCUCCAGUCAAAAACCAUUACAUCUAUCAAUAUCAAACUUUGGCCUCAGAUGACAAAACCUACAGUACAAAUACACACACUAUAAAAUCCAAUAGUUUACCUUACUUAAAUAUAAUAAGUUAUCUUUACUUAGUUGUUAUACUUACUUGGUUUUAUUAAGUUACAGCUAAUUUUAAGGCGAAUAAAACAGUAAUUCUUACUUGAAAUAUUCAAGUAGAUACAACAAAACCGAUGACAUUACUUCACCAGUGAGAGGCAGCAGUGCGGUAAUGUGUUGCUAAUGCGCAACAAAACAACAGAAGAAGAAAUAAGGACGGUUAGAGAGCAUGCGCAACAAAACCACAGAAGAAGAAAUAAGGACGGUUAGAGAGCAUGCGCAGCAAGCGAUGUUUUGAAUUUCUGCUCGAAUUUGCUGAAACUAGGAAGAAGUAGAGAGACUGCUUGCAUUUUACCUCUGGACAAACACUGAAUACUUCUACAGAAUAAUAAUAAGUAGUGGAACUCGCCUUUAUCUGAAGAAUCAUUUUUCAUAUUUAGGAAAAAAGCUUGUGGCAACUGUCUUCUCUGAACAGCGAUCUUGUGAACAUGGGCCUCAGUACAAUAAAGAGGACACUUCACACCCUACAACCCGUAAAAAUGUAUGUUGCUACCUUAAAUGUUUUCAGUAUUUUUUAUUAUAUUUAAUAAUAAUAUUUAAAAUAAACAGCGUCAAUGACUUCUUUAUUGACACUUUGACAAACAUGUUUCUACUGUAAUUUUUGAAUUUCUUAAACUUUGUUUUUCUUUUCUUUUCUUCUAGAACCCAUGUUUGACAGAACUACACACCCAUCUGAGGCCUACUGUACCUGUUUUACUUCAUGAUCACCCCAGAUACUUCUACAGUUGACCCGCUUUGUAAGUUCUCAUAGUUACACCUUAAAAGAACACAUCAUUUUAGAAAAAAUACCUGUGUAUUUGCUGGUAUAUUACUGAGAUACCUUUAUAAAGAUUAUUGUUGAUUACAUACCUAGUUCAAUUAAAAAUGAAAAAAUGUGCCAUUUAAUCUCCCUUCUGUCAUUCUAUUCCAUAAAAAAGUCUGCAUCUUCAUGACACGAAUGAAGAUAUAUAACCCAAAUCUCUGACACCCAAGAAACCAUCAAAUCAGUCUAUAUGAAUUGAGCUGAUUAAUCUACAUUUUGAGCCAAACUGUUCAACUGUUCUUGAUCCAGAACUCUAGUCAGAACACUGAACCGUGCUGUAAGAACUACCUGGAGUGUAUGUCGCUGCUCGAGGGUUGGUCGUUGUCUUUUGCCUAGCCACCAGUUUCUCUGUAGCUGGCCAACAUGCUAUUGAGUGAAGUAAACAAGUUAAUAGUAAAAUUAAAAGUGAUAUUUAAUCUUUCAUAACAUGGGUGCUAUUUACAUCAGGUACGAUUUCUUAACUAUUGCAUUACUAAGACAAGGACUGACCACUGAUCUAUAUAUGACUAUUCUAUAUUAUAGAUCAGUGGGACUGACACAUUUAUGUUGCAUUCAAAAGAGCUCUGUUAACAGCCCAACAGUGAAAAAUUAAACUAUAUCCGUAUUGUCACAGCAUGGAAUGGUUAAGCAUUGAGAAUUAAGAAUGGUUUGGCCUGACAGUGGAAAAGCGUCUCAAGUCUUCGAAAGAGACAUGAUUGCUAUAUGAUCAACUGUCUAAAGUGUUGGGUAAAUAGACCUAUUAUAGAUCAGUGGGACUGACACAUUUAUGUUGCAUUCAAAGAGCUCUGUUAACAGCCCAACAGUGAAAAAUUAAACUAUAUCCGUAUUGUCACAGCAUGGAAUGGUUAAGCAUUGAGAAUUAAGAAUGGUUUGGCCUGACAGUGGAAAAGCGUCUCAAGUCUUCGAAAGAGACAUGAUUGCUAUAUGAUCAACUGUCUAAAGUGUUGGGUAAAUAGACCUUCAGUUAAAGGACAGAAAUUUCUCAGAUUUCACUGAAAAUGUCUUUAUUUGUGUUUCGAAAAUAAAAAAAAGGGUGAGUAAAUGAUGACAUGAAUUUCAAGUUUGGGUGAACUAACCCAAUGGCAUGCCUGUGUAGGCAGGACAGAUAACACUGAAAACUGAUCACCCUCAUUUCCCUGCUAAUACUGUUUUUAUU